rnacentral:rRNA from 1 species
UACGUAGGCAGCGAGCGUUGUUCGGAAUUACUGGGCGUAAAGAGUGUGUAGGCGGUGCUCUAAGUUCGGUGUGAAAUCUCCUGGUUCAACUGGGAGGGUGCGCCGGAAACUGGAGUGCUUGAGCGUGGGAGAGGAAAGCGGAAUUCCUGGUGUAGCGGUGAAAUGCGUAGAUAUCAGGAGGAACACCUGUGGUGUAGACGGCUUUCUGGACCAUAGCUGACGCUGAGACACGAAAGCGUGGGUAGCAAACAGG